rnacentral:pre_miRNA from 1 species
CUCGGGGGUGGGGGGGUCCCUCAACCCAGAUUGUGAGAGGGCGCAGGCCAGGCCAAGGGACCCUACCAGUGCAUG